rnacentral:rRNA from 1 species
UACGUAGGGUGCGAGCGUUGUCCGGAAUUAUUGGGCGUAAAGAGCUCGUAGGCGGCUUGUCGCGUCGUCCGUGAAAACUUGGGGCUCAACCCCAAGCUUGCGGUCGAUACGGGCAGGCUAGAGUUCGGUAGGGGAGACUGGAAUUCCUGGUGUAGCGGUGAAAUGCGCAGAUAUCAGGAGGAGCACCGGUGGCGAAGGCGGGUCUCUGGGCCGAUACUGACGCUGAGGAGCGAAAGCGUGGGGAGCGAACAGG